rnacentral:rRNA from 1 species
GACGAACGCUGGCGGCGUGCUUAACACAUGCAAGUCGAACGGAAAGGCCCUGCUUUUGCGGGGUGCUCGAGUGGCGAACGGGUGAGUAACACGUGAGUAAACUGUCCUUGACUUUGGGAUAACUUCAGGAAACUGGGGCUAAUAUCGGAUAGGAGCUCCUGCUGCAUGGUGGGGGUUGGAAAGUUUCGGCGGUUGGGGAUGGACUCGCGGCGUAUCAGCUUGUUGGUGGGGUAGUGGCUUACCAAGGCUUUGACGGGUAGCCGGCCUGAGAGGGUGACCGGCCACAUUGGGACUGAGAUACGGCCCAGACUCCUACGGGAGGCAGCAGUGGGGAAUAUUGCACAAUGGGCGGAAGCCUGAUGCAGCAACGCCGCGUGCGGGAUGACGGCCUUCGGGGUGUAAACCGCUUUCGCCUGUGACGAAGCGUGAGUGACGGUAAUGGGUAAAGAAGCACCGGCUAACUACGUG